rnacentral:rRNA from 1 species
CCUACGGGAGGCAGCAGUGAGGAAUAUUGGUCAAUGGGCGGAAGCCUGAACCAGCCAAGUAGCGUGCGGGAUGAAGGCCCUACGGGUCGUAAACCGCUUUUGUACGGGGAUAACACCCUCCACUUGUGGAGGUUUGUAGGUACCGCGCGAAUAAGGGCCGGCUAAUUCCGUGCCAGCAGCCGCGGGAAUACGGAAGGUCCGAGCGUUAUCCGGAUUUAUUGGGGUUAAAGGGAGCGUAGGCCGGCGGUUAAGCAUGCCGUUAAAUGCCGUGGCUCAACCCGGGCCCCGAGGUGAGAACUGGAUGCCUUGAGUUCGCAGCAGGCAGGCGGAAUUCGUGGUGUAGCGGUGAAAUGCAUAGAUAUCACGAAGAACCCCGAUUGCGAAGGCAGCCUGCCGGGGUGCGACUGACGCUGAGGCUCGAAGGUGCGGGUAUCGAACAGGAUUAGAUACCCUUGUAGUC